rnacentral:rRNA from 1 species
GGACCUGCGUUGUAUUAGCUAGUUGGUGAGGUAACGGCUCACCAAGGCGACGAUACAUAGCCGACCUGAGAGGGUGAUCGGCCACACUGGGACUGAGACACGGCCCAGACUCCUACGGGAGGCAGCAGUAGGGAAUCUUCGGCAAUGGGGGCAACCCUGACCGAGCAACGCCGCGUGAGUGAAGAAGGUUUUCGGAUCGUAAAGCUCUGUUGUAAGAGAAGAACGUGUGUGAGAGUGGAAAGUUCACACAGUGACGGUAACUUACCAGAAAGGGACGGCUAACUACGUGCCAGCAGCCGCGGUAAUACGUAGGUCCCGAGCGUUGUCCGGAUUUAUUGGGCGUAAAGCGAGCGCAGGCGGUUUAGUAAGUCUGAAGUUAAAGGCAGUGGCUUAACCAUUGUUCGCUUUGGAAACUGUUAGACUUGAGUGCAGAAGGGGAGAGUGGAAUUCCAUGUGUAGCGGUGAAAUGCGUAGA